rfam:Streptomyces sp. CB01249 scaffold2, whole genome shotgun sequence.
GCCGGUCCUCGGUAGUGGCCCCCGGGACAACGCCCGGGAGCUUCGAUCGAAGACCGGC